rnacentral:rRNA from 1 species
CAAGCUCGACAGAGAACCGGGUGGAUGCCUUGGCGCUGAAGGCCGAUGAAGGACGCGGAGACCGGCGAAACGUUCCGGGGGAGCUGCAUGCAAGCCAUGAGCCCGGAGAGUCCGAAUGGGGCAACCCCUCCAGAGUGAUGUCUGGAGACCGCCUGCUGAACCCAUAGGCAGGCUGGAGGCAAGUGGGCGAACUGAAACAUCUCAGUAGCCUGACGAGAAAAAAUCAACCGAGAUUCCCCAAGUAGUGGCG